ensembl:rRNA 5S_rRNA 5S ribosomal RNA
GUCUACAGCCAUACCACCCUGAACAUGUCGGAUCUUGUCUGAUCUCAGAAGCUAAGCAGGGUAGGGCCUGGUUAGUACUUGGAUGGGAGGAAAAGUGUCUGCUUUAUGUU